CCAAGGAGUGUGUAACAACUCACCUGCCGAAUGAACUAGCCCUGAAAAUGGAUGGCGCUUAAGCGGGCGGCCGACACCACGCCGUCUGGUAAAGAAUUACGAUCAGAUGAGUAGGAGGGCGUGGCGGCUGUGUCGAAGCGUGCCUGCAGAGGCGCGUGGAACAGCCGCUAGUGCAGAUCUUGGUGGUAGUAGCAAGUAUUCAAGCGAGAUCCUUGAAGGGCGAAGCGGGGAAGGGUUCCACGCGAACAGUGCUUGGGCGUGGGUGAGUCGUUCCUAAGCCGAGUGGCAAUUGCUAAGUAGCGGCGAAAGGGAAGCGGGUUGACAUUCCCGCACACGGAUGUGGAGGCGGUGACGCGUAUUGGGGCGAACACGCUGGCGACGGCGCUGGGCAGAGUUGUCUUUUCUGUUUGACCUACCAGCACGCGGUGUGGAAUCCGCUUGUCGGGAGAAACACGCGUGUCGGGGCAGAGCGCCGGGGCUUUUCCGGCGUCCAGCUCGCCGUCGACGGCCCUUGAAACUUUGCCUGCUGAAUUUUUUUAAGAUCCACGCCGUGGCGUACCGAUCACCGCAUCAGGUCCCCAAGGUGAACAGCCUCUGCUCAAUAUGAACAAUGCAGGUAAGGGAAGUCGGCAAAUUAGACCCGUAACUUUGGGAUAAGGGUUGGCUCUAGUGCUGCGUGGGAGUGGUUGCCGGAUUUUGGGGCUUUCGGGGUGGCUGGCUUUGGCGCGGGGCCUUCUGUCAAAGGAGGGACCUGUUCCUGCUGCUGCUCUGGGGGCUGCGGGUCUGGCGACGCCCACAGCAUGCAGCAGACUAGAACUGCAACGGGCAAAGGGAAUCCGACUGUUUAAUUAAAACAAAGCAUUGCGAGGGCCGUGGCCGGUGAUGACGCAAUGUGA
rnacentral:rRNA from 1 species